rnacentral:rRNA from 1 species
AACGCGAAGAACCUUACCAGGGUUUGACAUGCAGACGCACCAGUCAGAGAUGGCUGUGCCCGCAAGGGACGUCUGCACAGGUGCUGCAUGGCUGUCGUCAGCUCGUGCCGUGAGGUGUCUGGUUAAGUCCUCUAACGAGCGCAACCCCUACCGUUAGUUUGAAUCUUUCUAACGGGACUGCCGCGCUAACGCGGAGGAAGGUGGGGAUGACGUCAAGUCAGCACGGCCCUUACAUCCUGGGCUACACACACGCUACAAUGGCCGAGACAUCGGGGAGCCAACCCGCGAGGGGGAGCCAAUCCCAGCAAACUCGGUCUCAGUUCGGAUUGUAGGCUGCAACCCGCCUACAUGAAGCUGGAGUUGCUAGUAACCGUGGGUCAGCACACCACGGUGAAUACGUUCCCGGGUCUUGUACACACCG